rnacentral:rRNA from 1 species
GACGAACGCUGGCGGCGUGCUUAACACAUGCAAGUCGAACGGAAAGGCCCUGCUUUUGUGGGGUGCUCGAGUGGCGAACGGGUGAGUAACACGUGAGUAACCUGCCCUUGACUUUGGGAUAACUUCAGGAAACUGGGGCUAAUACCGGAUAGGAUCUCCUGCUGCAUGGUGGGGGUUGGAAAGUUUCGGCGGUUGGGGAUGGACUCGCGGCUUAUCGGCUUGUUGGUGGGGUAGUGGCUUACCAAGGCUUUGACGGGUAGCCGGCCUGAGAGGGUGACCGGCCACAUUGGGACUGAGAUACGGCCCAGACUCCUACGGGAGGCAGCAGUGGGGAAUAUUGCACAAUGGGCGGAAGCCUGAUGCAGCAACGCCGCGUGCGGGAUGACGGCCUUCGGGUUGUAAACAGCUUCCGCCUGUGACGAAGCGUGAGUGACGGUAAUGGGUAAAGAAGCACCGGCUAACUACGUG